rnacentral:rRNA from 1 species
GACAGAGGUGCCAAGCGUUAGGCGGAAUCACUGGGCUUAAAGCGUGUGUAGGCGGGUCGUUAAGUGUCUUGUGAAAUCCCCCGGCUCAACCGGGGAAUGGCUGGGCAUACUGGCGAUCUUGAGCAGUCUAGGGGCAGAUGGAACAGACGGUGGAGCGGUGAAAUGCGUAGAUAUCGUCUGGAACGCCAAAGGUGAAAAACAGUCUGCUGGGGACUUGCUGACGCUGAGACACGAAAGCCAGGGGAGCGAACGGG